GGAUAUGACGGCAAUCUGGCUGUGACAUCUGUCGCCCCACUGGUCACUCAGGGUUCAUUCAGCAUAUCUGGCUGGCGAGGCAGGUGUUCCCUUCCUAAGGCUCCGUGUGUGUUCCAGCAAAGCCCUGCGAUUGAUCAGACCCUCCCUUGAUGAGGAGGACCAUACUUUGGUCAAGGAUGUACAGGUGGCUGUGCUUCCUUGCUAGAACCUCAAAACAAGCUCUUAAAACACCGUUAACAUUAAGAAAACUUAAAGAGAAAACAAAACACCUAACCAGCUUUGAGAUUGUCCAUAUUCACCUCCACUGU
rnacentral:snRNA from 1 species